UUCUAAUUACUCACAGGCAGAACUGCUUAGGGACAAAAGGGCUCUUCCUCUCUUUCCCCUCAUAGGCAGCAAAUAAACAUUAGAGAGGCCAGUGGCCAACUCUGCCCCCCCGGAAGCCUUUCGCUGAUGCCCACGUGAGCUGCCCACUCCAGGGACCACCUGGCCAGGGUGCUUUCAGAACAGGCAACUGCUUCAGAGCAAGCCAGGCCCCAUUCACCUGUCCCUGAGCCCAGGGAGACAGAUGUGUGCCGAGAGGCACCCACACAGACAGGCACUCAAACACACCUGCACACACAAAUGAGUACGAGCACAUGUGUGCACACACACUGACACAUUCCUACGCAGCCAGAUAUGCACACACCUACACAUGCAUGCACACAUACAAACACACAUAGACACAUCUGCGGACACGUACACCCAAGACCUACUCACAUAACGCAUAUCCUCACAGACACAUAGGUACACUUGCACACACAGAACGUACUUGCACACACAAGGACCCACCAGUGCACAACCCUGCCAGGCCUCAGCGCGGGGAGGAGGAACUGCUAAUCUAGGCUCCCCAGCUGCCACUGCCUUCCUCCCGGAGCCCCCAGGCCGGCAGGGGGCGCCCGAGGCCCCUUCCGUCUGGGCCCAGCCCUGGCGGGAGGGAGCGCGCGCGGGUGCCACCCACCCUCCGCCCUCCCAAGCUAGGUCCCCUUUGUUCCCCCACCCGGAAAGAGGCCACCGCGCCGGGGAAGCACCCAGCCACAGAGUCCUCCAGGCGCCGAUCCUGCGCUUUCGUCUUGGUCCCGGAGAUGACCGAGUCCCGCACACGGACCGCCACGACCACAGGGAGGGAGAGCCAGCUCAUCAUCGCCCACUGCCGGUCAGGCAGAACCAUGCGGGCCCCCAGGGCCCCCGCAAGCCCACCAACUCACAGGCCUGCAGCCCUGCCCCCUAUCCCCUUGUCGCCCUGAAAGUUUGUUAAGUGUUCUCCCCUGGGAGAGGGCCACCCAGGAACAUUGAAACAAGAGCAAGAAUCCCAGAGGCAAGCCUUCCAUCCUUCCCUUCUGCCAGUGUCCAGCUCUUCUGGCCCCAAGGAGCCUCCAGUGAGGACUUUGAUUCCUAAAGAACAGAAGCCUGGGGGCCUCCCUCUCCUCUCACCCUGAAACCUGGAAUCCUGGAGCUGUGCUAGGCAGAGAUUAUAUACAACGGAGUCAUUUAAGACCUGCCUCUGCUGCUAAGUUCUGGGCCUUGGGUGGAUGUGAGAAUACACAACUUGGUGGAGACCUGGUGUGGGGCCUGGCGCACAGUGAGUGGAAGCUGGCUCCUCACCCUGUGGUGAUUCCUGGGUGCUGACCCCUUUCCUGACUGAGCCCCUGGACAAGGUUUGGACCCCAGCAGAGAGCCCCACACAGGAGCCAGGUGUUGAGAGGCCGGUGCUGCUGAAUGAAUGAGUGGAUGCCCUCCCCACACAGAAGCAACUUCUCUUCAUCAACACUUAUGACUCACAUCUUGUCAAAUCUCUCCAGCUUGAAAACCUUCCUCCUGCAGCUGCCGAUUGGAGAGCAUCCACAUUUCAUGGCCAGAGACCUGAAUUCCGGGGCCGGCCGGUUGUCCGCGAGCUGGAUGAUCACUCCUUUGAGCCAGCCGUUCCCUGUGGUCGUGCGGGGCUUGCCGUCCCCCAGGCUGGCUCUGAGGAUUAGACGCAUUUUAUCUUGUGCAGGGAACACAGGGCAUGGAGAUACCACCCAAAGACAGCCACCGCGGACUCACUCCAAGUGUUCUUCCUAGGGGGGCUCCCUAGCACAUAUGUGGACAAUUUCCCCUGUAUUGUUCUAUAAUCCUUGAUGGUUGCUCUAUAAUUGCUCUCAAAUGGUUUAAUCAUAAUAAAUAGCAUCUGCAGAGCAGUUUA